UACGAAGGGUGCAAGCGUUAUCCGGAAUUAUUGGGCGUAAAGAGCUCGUAGGCGGUUUGUCGCGUCUGCCGUGAAAGUCCGGGGCUCAACUCCGGAUCUGCGGUGGGUACGGGCAGACUAGAGUGAUGUAGGGGAGACUGGAAUUCCUGGUGUAGCGGUGAAAUGCGCAGAUAUCAGGAGGAACACCGAUGGCGAAGGCAGGUCUCUGGGCAUUAACUGACGCUGAGGAGCGAAAGCAUGGGGAGCGAACAGG
rnacentral:rRNA from 1 species